GUCGAAGCGGGCUUUUGAUAGCUUGCUUUUCACAACUUAGCGGCGGACGGGUGAGUAACACGUGGGCAACCUGCCCUUGAGACGGGGAUAACUCCGGGAAACCGGAGCUAAUACCGGAUAACACAUAUCUUCGCAUGAGGAUAUGUUAGAAGGUGGCUUUUAGCUACCACUCAAGGAUGGGCCCGCGGCGCAUUAGCUAGUUGGUGAGGUAACGGCUCACCAAGGCGACGAUGCGUAGCCGACCUGAGAGGGUGAUCGGCCACACUGGGACUGAGCCACGAUAAAAAUUUAUACGGCAGGCAGCAGUAGUCAAUCUUCCGCAAUGAACGAAAGUCUGACGGAGCAACGCCGCGUGAGUGAUGAUGGUUUUCGGAUCGUACAGCUCUGUUGUAAGAGAAGAACAUGUAUCUGUUGAAUAAGCAGGUACCUUGACGGUACCUAACCAGAAAGCCACGACUAACUACGUGCCAGCAGCCGCGGUAAUACGUAGGUGGCAAGCGUUGUCCGGAAUUAUUGAGCGUAAAGCGCGCGCUGGCUGUUCUUUAAGUCUGAUGUGAAAGCCCACGCCUCAACCGUGCAGGGUCAUUGGAUACUGGGGUACUUGAGUGCAGAAGAGGAGAGCGCAAUUCCACGUGUAGCGAUGAAAUGCGUAGAGAUGUGAAGAAACACCAGUGGCGAAGUCGGCUCUCUGUUCUGUAACUGACGCUGAAGCGCGAA
rnacentral:rRNA from 1 species